AUGAUUGCUCUUAUCGGUAUGGCUCCUACCGAGGAGGAGGGAGAAGAGAAGAAGAAGAGGGAAAGGAAGGCAGCUGGAGCUGCUUUCACGUGGAUUCAAAAUAACUUUGCGACGUGCUCUCCGGAUGCAACUGAUGAUGUGAUCCAGACACAUGCUCGUGUGUAUAUGUGGUACAUUGUGUCGAGGACUUUGUUUCCUGACUCCACUGGCAAGAACGCUCCAUGGAUGUGGCUGAAGGCGUUGACCGUCUUCGAUAGCAAAUGGAGCUGGGGUUCAGCGACUCUUGCCUACUUGUACCGACAGGUAGUUGGUCUGUUUUGUGAUCAACUCAUUUAUUCAUUAGCAAUGCAAGCUUGUUGUCAAGUUAACAUUGUUUUUCUUUCAUAUGUAGCUGGAUGA
rnacentral:rRNA from 1 species